rnacentral:rRNA from 1 species
CCUACGGGAGGCAGCAGUGGGGAAUUUUGGACAAUGGGCGCAAGCCUGAUCCAGCAAUGCCGCGUGAGUGAAGAAGGCCUUCGGGUUGUAAAGCUCUUUUGUCAGGGAAGAAACGGUGAGGGCUAAUAUCUCUUGCUAAUGACGGUACCUGAAGAAUAAGCACCGGCUAACUACGUGCCAGCAGCCGCGGUAAUACGUAGGGUGCAAGCGUUAAUCGGAAUUACUGGGCGUAAAGCGUGCGCAGGCGGUUUUGUAAGUCUGUCGUGAAAUCCCCGGGCUCAACCUGGGAAUUGCGAUGGAGACUGCAAGGCUAGAAUCUGGCAGAGGGGGGUAGAAUUCCACGUGUAGCAGUGAAAUGCGUAGAGAUGUGGAGGAACACCGAUGGCGAAGGCAGCCCCCUGGGUCAAGAUUGACGCUCAUGCACGAAAGCGUGGGGAGCAAACAGGAUUAGAUACCCUGGUAGUCCACGCCCUAAACGAUGUCUACUAGUUGUCGGGUUUUAAUUAACUUGGUAACGCAGCUAACGCGUGAAGUAGACCGCCUGGGGAGUACGGUCGCAAGNUUAAAAUCAAAGGAAUUGACGG